rnacentral:tRNA from 1 species
GAUUCCUUAACUUAAUCGGUAAAGUGUAUUUUUGAUAAGAAUAUGAUCAGUGUUCAAUUCGCUGAGGAAUUA